rnacentral:rRNA from 1 species
GACGAACGCUGGCGGCGUGCCUAAUACAUGCAAGUCGAGCGAACAGACGAGGUGCUUGUUCCUCCGACUUUAGCGGCGGACGGGUGAGUAACACGUGGAUAACCUACCUAUAAGACUGGGAUAACUUCGGGAAACCAUUGCUAAUACCGCAUAAUAUAUUGAACCGCAAUGUUCAAUAGUGAAAGACGCUAUUGCUUUCACUUAUAGAUGGCCCCGGUCCGCAUUAGUUAGUUGGUAAGGUAACGGCUUACCAAGGCAAGGAUGCGUACCCGACCUGAGAGGGAGGUCGCCCAGAUGGGAAGUGAGAAAGGGCCGAGACUCCAAGGGGGGGAAGCAGUAGGGAAUCUUCCGCAAGGGGGGAAAGCGGAACGGAGCAACGCGGGGGAAGUGAUGAAGGUCUUCGGACGGGAAAGCGCUGUUGUAAGGAAGGAAGGAAUGGGUAAUUAACAGUGCAGGUAGUGACGGUACCUAAACAGAAAGCCACGGCUAACUACGUG